UACGGAGGGUGCAAGCGUUGUUCGGAAUUAUUGGGCGUAAAGCGCGUGUAGGCGGUCGCGUAAGUCAGAUGUGAAAGCCUUCCGCUUAACGGAAGAAGUGCAUUUGAAACUGCGUGACUAGAGUACGGGAGAGGAGAGUGGAAUUCCCGGUGUAGAGGUGAAAUUCGUAGAUAUCGGGAGGAACACCAGUGGCGAAGGCGGCUCUCUGGCCUAAUACUGACGCUGAGACGCGAAAGCGUGGGGAGCAAACAGG
rnacentral:rRNA from 1 species